GUCGUUCAUCUCGCUCCUCUCGACCGCAUCCAGAACCUCGUCUGGUGCCAUGAUGCUCCGCAGCUUGGCCAGGACGAACUGCUUCAUCUCCGCCGGGCUCUGGUCGACGUCCUCCUUGCCGUCCGGACAGGAAGGUGACCACGUCAGGAACCAGUACACGUCCGUGUCGCCGCAGGGCACCAGGCCGGCACGGAAGCCGUUGCCGCUCAACUGCAUGAACUUGGGCUGGAACCCGUGGCCGUCGGAGUACUUGGCGUGCCCCCGCGUGGCCCUGCGCCCGGAGUCGAGCGGCUUGGCGAGCCCCAGCCAUCUGGCCACCACCGAGUUGAUCCCGUCGCAGCCGAUCAGCACCUUUGCUCGGAGCGUCGAGCCGUCGGCGAGAUGCAGGAUCUUGGCAUCGCCGCCGCCGUCUUUUUCUUUGUCGUCGUCGAUGGAGACGAUCCUGGAGUUGUAGCGGAUGGUGCCUGCCGGAAGCUCUUCCUCCAGCGCCUGGAGCAGCACGUUCCGCUGCACGCACCGGGCUUCGUGGGGUCCCCUGCAUUAAUCAAGAAGCAAACAGAUGAAUUCACCCAAGAAUGGAGCAAGUUUGGGUUUGAUCCGAUGGUGAAUGGAGUGGACAUCUCACAGUUUUCCUUGCACCCGGAGAUCCAGCUCUCGCACCACUUGCCCGGUAGUCGGAGACAUGACACGCACCCUAUCCAUUCGAGAGGAGAAAAAUGAACAGUACGCCGUCAGCACGGCUAACUCGAUAUAUGUAUGAUCGUGAUAAGCUUCAGAAAAAGAUGGAGAUCCAGAUCAAGAUCGAGCUGUAGUGUAUACGUACCCCUGCACCUGCAGGUGGUGGCUCCUCAUCUUGUCGCCGACGCCGAGGGCGUCAAGCGCGCGGAAGGCGUUGGUCCAUGUCAUGAACGCGAAGCCGGACGUCCGGAGCGCCGGCGACGACUCCAGCACCACGCUCCGCACGCCCUUCCUGCAUUCAUCCAGCGACCCUUGUUUAGUGAAGCCGACAUGCCACAUGUACACAACACAAAUGAAGAAGCUGGCUAGCGUUCACGACGAAUUCAGAGAGCAUGUGAGUCGUCUCUGCCUCUGUGGAGAUGUGACUGGUGUGCCGGCGUACCUGUGGAGUCCCAGGGCGACGCCGACACCGGCGAGGCCGGCGCCGACAAUGACCACGUCCUCGGCGGCGUCCUGCUUCUGCUGCUCCAUGUGUGCUUACACUGGCUUACGCUUCGACGACUGAUAUAUUCGGUUCGUCGUGUGUGCUCGCGAGUUAAUUUGAGCUGGUUUUGACUGAUCUAUACCAUUCAGCAAGUCAAUGCUGUAUGUAUAUGUGCUCCAAGAAAACUGAAGCAGCGGAGAAGGAGGCGGCUCUGGCGUCACUGCUGAUGAUGCCUUGCUGGUUGGCCUUGUACAAUAAUGGUCAACUUGGGCACUUGGCAACUUGCAUCCGUCCUUUUUCAGUAUCAUACUAGCGCCUUUUUUCUUCGGACUAGUACUUUAUCCGAGAAUUUUGGGGGCAAGGUAGAAUAAAAAAACGGUUGACGGCCACAUGCAAAUAUGUUGGCCAUUGCUGAAUUUUCGAUCCUUGACAGUGGGGUUUAUUUUUAUUUUUGAGGCAAAGUCCUUGAGAGCAACUCGAACGCAGGGACCUAAAUGGACACGGAUUUUGUUUACUUUUUGUUCGUAUGAGUCAUCUAUCCGCUUAGCGGACAUGCGGCGGACACACGAUGCACUCAACGCAGCAACACAUGAAGCGGACAAGCACAACAGAACACAGGCAAACGCAUAGCAGUAGCAGCACCAAGCGAGCCGGACAAUGGGCAGUGCCCAAGGCCCGCGCUGCUGCCGCCGCAAGCCCCAGGGCGCGGGCUCGCCUACGUCACCCCCCCCNNNNNNNNNNCCUUCGCCGAUCUAAAGCCAGAUGACAUGCUGCUGAAGACCGCAUCGCGCCGCCGCCCGAUCCAGGCCAGCCGCCGCAGCAGCCGUCCGUGGCCCGAGGCAGGGCCGACCGCCGCCGCCGUCGAAGCCAUCGCCGCCGCUUCUAGAUCGGCCGCACCUCCAUGCAUGUUGGGGCCCCGCCACCCCUGUGGUGCGGGAGGGAGGAAGGGAGGAUCGGGUGGCCUCUCGAGUGGCGGCUGGGAAGGCCUCCGAAGUCGCCUGGAGGAGCGACCCGGGAGGCAGAUGCGCCUCUAUAAGAAUAAAAUGUAAAAUGAUUUUUUUACAUAUAUCUUAAUAUAGGAUCUCACGAAUAUAAACGACUACAGAAUCGAAUUAGACUUGUUCGACUAAGAUUUUAGGAGACUGCGUUACAAAUGGCUUCUGCCAGAACGAGACCCCUCGCACUGGCAGUCAAAGCGUGCCACAGUCGUAGUCGGGCAUCAUGAGGAGCCCCUUGGCGAGCACCCCUGACAGCAGCCUGUCGCGCGCAAAUCUCACCACGGCGUGCUCGCUCUGCUGCACACGCCCCACCAUGUAGGACGCCGCAAUCACCUGCGCGCUCCUCCACCGCCGGAUCCCGGCGUACCGGCGCAGAGCCGCCUCGAUCGUCUCAUCUCCGUCCAUCGCGUCGCCGAGGCACCGCGCGAGGACGACCGCGUCCUCCAGCGCGAUGCACGCGCCCUGCGCCAGGUCCGGCGUCGUGGGGUGGAGCGCGUCGCCGGCGACGCACACGUUCCCCUUGCUGAUGCUCCCGAACAGGAGCGACAGCGGCGGGCGGUACCGCAGCGGCGCCACGAGGACGUCGUUCAUCUCGCUCCUCUCGACCGCAUCCAGAACCUCGUCUGGUGCCAUGAUGCUCCGCAGCUUGGCCAGGACGAACUGCUUCAUCUCCGCCGGGCUCUGGUCGACGUCCUCCUUGCCGUCCGGACAGGAAGGUGACCACGUCAGGAACCAGUACACGUCCGUGUCGCCGCAGGGCACCAGGCCGGCACGGAAGCCGUUGCCGCUCAACUGCAUGAACUUGGGCUGGAACCCGUGGCCGUCGGAGUACUUGGCGUGCCCCCGCGUGGCCC
rnacentral:lncRNA from 1 species